rnacentral:lncRNA from 1 species
CUCCAAUCAAGUUGUAGAAACAUCUCAAGGUUGAUCAAUGGAAACAGGAUGCACCUGAGCAAAAUUUUGAGUCUCACAGCAACGGGUCUGAAUACUUUUGUAAAUAAGGUAUUUCUGCUUUUAUAAAUUUGCAAAAAUGUUUAAAACCUGUUUUUGCUUCGUCAUUAUGGGUGAUUGUGUGUAGAUUUAUGAGGGAAAAACAUAUUUAAUCCAUUUUAGAAUAAGGCUGUAAUGUAACAAAAUGUGAAAAAAGUACUGGGGUCUGAGAACUUUCCAAACACCAUGUAUGUACAGUUAACUGCCAAAAUAAAGGAAACACCAAGAUAAAGUGUCUUAAUAGGGGUAAUAGAGUGCCUUAAUAGGGGUUAAUAGGGGUUAAUAGGGUGUAUUAAUAGGGGUUAAUAGGGGCUAAUAGGGGUUAAUAGAGUGUAUUAAUAGGGGUUAAUAGAGUGUCUUAAUAGGGGUUAAUAGAGUGCCUUAAUAGGGGUUAAUAGGGGUUAAUAGGGUGCCUUAAUAGGGGUUAAUAGGGGUUAAUAGGGUGUAUUAAUAGGGGUUAAUAGAGUGCCUUAAUAGGGGUUAAUAGAGUGCCUUAAUAGGGGUUAAUAGAGUGUAUUAAUAGGGGUUAAUAGGGGCUAAUAGGGGUUAAUAGGGUGUAUUAAUAGGGGUUAAUAGAGUGUCUUAAUAGGGGUUAAUAGAGUGUAUUAAUAGGGGUUAAUAGAGUGUAUUAAUAGGGGUUAAUAGGGGUUAAUAGGGUGUAUUAAUAGGGGUUAAUAGGGGCUAAUAGGGGUUAAUAGGGUGUAUUAAUAGGGGUUAAUAGAGUGUCUUAAUAGGGGUUAAUAGAGUGUAUUAAUAGGGGUUAAUAGGGGUUAAUAGGGUGUAUUAAUAGGGGUUAAUAGGGGCUAAUAGGGGUUAAUAGGGUGUAUUAAUAGGGGUUAAUAGAGUGUCUUAAUAGGGGUUAAUAGAGUGUCUUAAUAGGGGUUAAUAGAGUGUAUUAAUAGGGGUUAAUAGGGGUUAAUAGGGUGUAUUAAUAGGGGUUAAUAGGGGCUAAUAGGGGUUAAUAGGGUGUAUUAAUAGGGGUUAAUAGAGUGUCUUAAUAGGGGUUAAUAGAGUGUCUUAAUAGGGGUUAAUAGAGUGUAUUAAUAGGGGUUAAUAGGGGUUAAUAGGGUGUAUUAAUAGGGGUUAAUAGAGUGUAUUAAUAGGGGUUAAUAGAGUGUCUUAAUAGGGGUUAAUAGAGUGUCUUAAUAGGGGUUAAUAGAGUGUAUUAAUAGGGGUUAAUAGGGAUUAAUAGGGUGUAUUAAUAGGGGUUAAUAGAGUGUAUUAAUAGGGGUUAAUAGAGUGUCUUAAUAGGGGUUAAU